rnacentral:RNase_P_RNA from 1 species
AAAGUCCGGGCAACACAGAGCACCAUACUUCCUAACUGGAAGAUAUCCGUGAGGGUAUAGAAGUGCAACAGAAAAUAACCGUUCCCCUGGUCCUUGCUUGAAGGUAAGGCAAAGGGAAUAAGGGUGAAAAGGUGAGGUAAGAGCUCACCGGUUCUGCUGGUGACAGUAGAAGCCGUGCACCUUAUGGGUUGAAAGACCAAGUAUACCGGCUAUUGAGGGCUGCUCGUCCAAUGCCGGGGGGUAGGUCGUACGACUCAGCCAGCAAUGACUGAGCAAGAUAAAUGAUGGAAAAGGGCUCAAAUUUCUUUUAUAGAAAAAGGAUCCUUACAGAACCCGGCUUACAGGUCGGCUUAAAUA